AUGAUAUUUAAUAUUUAUCAGAUUUUGCAGAAAACAAAAAGUAAAAGACAAUAUGGUUGUGUAGUAAACAUCUAUUUGUUACUAUUAAUAAUUUUGCACCUGUGCUUCUCUAUUUUAUUUUAUUUUUUUCUUAAAUCGUUCUCAUUCAAGGAGGCUGCUCUUUUCCCAGACAUGAUGCGUUUGCUUACAUGUGCACCACAGAGAUUUCACCCAAGUCGACAUGUUUCUAGAACUUACAAACCUGGAACCAAAACACUUGUCUCAAUAAGUGGAGUUGAUUUCCCUUGCGUUGGAAACUUGUUAAAUUGUCCAAUUAGAUUGCCAGAAGGGGCAAUUUAUUAUUAAGGUCUGAGAAGUCAUAUUCUAGCAGCCCCUGGCAGAGGCCUGAAAAGCUUUUGUCAAGCACCACCGUCACACCUACAGACACCUGAACUGUGGCAAACUGCCAGGGAACCAGUGCGGCAUUCCACUCCAUGCUGCAUUGAAUCAUCUCCGAGGUGGGACACUUCUCUUUUCUUCCUCUCUUCCUCUCUGAGCCAGGAAUAGUUCCAGGAGCAGAAGACAGUUUCAGUCUGGAUCAACUGCUGACUUUUUAGCUUGUAUUUUUAUCUCUUCCAUAUGAUGCUGAUCUUGGAGAAGAGCCUAAGUUGAACAUUCCUGCCUUUUUUUCCUGGAUCUUCUGCUGCACAUGAAAAAUCAGGUCUGUGGAGUUAUUGUGGAAACUCUGAAAAGCUCUUUCUCCUUUGCCUUUCUCCCCUGCCUCCUUUGCCUAUGGCUGUAGUGAACAGCAGCACUCACUGCAGAACUCAGGUACAACAUAGUACCAAUAUGCAGUGAUUGUAACAUGCAUCAGUCCCACACGGUGUACAUAAUCACACCCAGUAUUUCAGAACUGUAAUUAAGUCUUGGGAGAAUGCUUCACUCAUUUACAUCACCAGACUGAACUGUGUUAAAAUACUACUAUAUUGGAACAAUGUUUACCAAAACAGUUGACUUAAAAUAGGUCUUCAAGGGAUCUACAAAAUUCUCUUCUAUAAGUUUGUAAUGCUGCAACAAAUCAAAAAUGAGACAAGUGUCUAUUAAAAUAUUAAAAAAUUAGUCUUGUCAUAAGUAUCAC
ensembl:lncRNA